UUGAAAAAGGCAAACCUUUGGAAACAGGGGGACGCAAAGCCAACGGGGCCAACUUUUUUGGAGGUUUUUAGGCCGGCCGGGUUGCCAA
rnacentral:ncRNA from 1 species